CGAGAUGGGACGUAGUAACUCCACCUUACUUCUGAUUACUUCUUCAGGAAAAGGAGGCUCCACAGCAGCUCUUGUGUCCAUAUCAGUUAUUUCCCUGGUGAUCAUGAUCCUCACUGUCCUCUUCAUCUGAAGAAAAAGGUCCUCACGAAGCUUUUUCCCGGGAAAGAGAUCAGACAACUGCUGAGGUGACAUUCAUCAUUUUAUAUAUAACUUAAUGUCGAUAGAUUAAAAACAAUAACUAAUUAAUCGCUCGUUUUGAAAUGUAUUAAUCCCGAUUAAUGAAUGAUGUUGUUGCCAUACAAAGUUUAGAUAUUUUCAUCUCGUUCAUCUCCAAAAGGCCAGACUAUAUCGCAAUGUGGCCAUCGGGGGGGUUGUGGUUAUUUGGGGGAGAUGGUUGGCAGUCGCUCUGCACUCGACCGACCCACCAGCUUCCAAUUUAAAUAGAACAUUUGUUUCUACACGAGAGAGAAAGUCGACCUUCACUGAGAGGGGAGAGCAAACACGAGUUCACAGCCUCAGGUCUUCAUGGAUUAAUAUGAAGAGGAAAAUAAUAGUGACCCAUUUGAAGAUGGUGAAGUGUGUCUACAAUAAUGUUUUGUAAUGUGACGUAAUAAUUAUUCAAAACGUAAGCUGAUUUUGAAGUCAGUGCCUCUGUGGUGGGACAGGUGAAAAACAAACUAAAUCAAUAAAUAGUUGUUUGUUUUGUUUGUGUAAUGGUAAUUUUUCAUUGUGAAACAUACAAACAUGCACAUUGUGUAAAUAAUGAAUGGUGUUCAUGUUUCAUUGAUAUAUGCAGUAAAUAUAUGGCUAAUAAGGA